CUUUCUUUGCUGGCGACCGGCGCACGGGUGAGUAACACGUAUCCAACCUGCCCUUUACUCGGGGAUAGCCUUUCGAAAGAAAGAUUAAUACCCGAUAGCAUAAUGAUUCCGCAUGGUUUCAUUAUUAAAGGAUUCCGGUAAAGGAUGGGGAUGCGUUCCAUUAGGUUGUUGGUGAGGUAACGGCUCACCAAGCCCUCGAUGGAUAGGGGUUCUGAGAGGAAGGUCCCCCACAUUGGAACUGAGACACGGUCCAA
rnacentral:rRNA from 1 species